CCAAUGCCCAAAACACAUCUUCCAGGUGAAGCAGCAGUAUAGUCACAUUUCUUUCAAUACAGUCUAUGUACUGACUGCUCACAAUGUGGUCUCCUUUACACUGGUGAGAAAAAACAGACUGGAUGACUGCUUUGUGGAAUACUUUGCUUGUUCUUUGAACUUUCGAACAAUCCAUCCUGCUCCCAUACUAACAUUUCCAUCGUGGGCCUGCUAUAGUGUACCAACGAAGUGCAAACUAAACAACGCCUUCAUUUUCCAUUUAGGGACGCAGAGAGAAGGAAAGUGAGCGCAAGAGAGCGACAGAGAAAAAAAAAGAUGCUGAAAUCUGCACAGGAAGUACCAGCAAUAGUAAUAAUUAUUCUAUCAGUCUGAAGCAAGAAUUGCUUUUACAUGGGUCCCUCCGUACUGAGAUUGUCAGAAGUUUAAGGCACAUUCAUGUUAAACCAGGUCCACCAUAAUGGUGGCAGCCAGCAGAAUACCAAAGCAACCAACAACCCACAAUCAGGUUGAAAGAUUAUACAACUGACAAGGCUGAACUACCAACACUAAGGGCCUACAGGAUUCCAACAAGCCUGACCUCAUGGAAACCCAAAACCAAAGCUUCACCAGCAUGGGUACAAGACUUGACCCAACAGUGACCCGAGAUAGAGGAGGCCUGACAGAACCAACCACAAGACUCCCUAGAACGCUCAAGACCUCGCCCUGGUGCCCAGGAUCUCGUUGGAAGCACACAGUUUCCAGAGCAGCAGACUUCCCUCACUGAUGCCCGGGAUCAACUAAGAGCAGACACCUAUUCAACAAACGUAGGAGAGAUACUGGACUUCAGGCGGAGACUAAAACUUCAGGGUUUCAAGUAUCUCUCCCCAGCACACUCAUGGCAAAUGUCCAGGACAUGGAGAACAAAAUGAACAAAGAGAACAAAGAAAAUUUACAGCCCAGGAACAGCCCUUCGGCCCUCAAGCCUGUGCCAAUCAGAAUGUACUGUCUAAACCUGUCGAUCGGUUCCUAAGCAUCUGUAUCCCUCUACUCCCCACCUAACUUAAAAGGAAAUUGAGAGACUGCUGUGUGCUGAGUGACAGAGACAUGGCUCCCUCCUGUCACACCUGACUAUGCCUUACAACGUGAGGAUUUCUGAGUUCAAUGGAUAGACCACUCAGUGUCCUCAGACAAGUCAAGGGAUGUUGGGGUCUGCCUCCUAAUCAACAGCUCCUGGUGCGCAGACAUUGCAACCCUGGUGAUUAACUGUUCCCCAGACCUAGAAAAUCUUACAGUUCAGUGCCAACCCUACUAUCUGCCACAUGAAUUCACCUCCGCUAUCCUGACAGUGGUCUACAUCCCCACCCAUGUGGAAGUGAAGACAGAAUAGCCCAAAACCAUGUUCAUCUUAAUUGGUGCCUUUAACCAGUCCAACCUUGAGAAUAUGCUACCAAAAUACCAUCAACAUGUCUCCUGUCCGAACAUCCUUGACCAUUGCUAUACAACCAAAGAUACAACCACUCCAUUCCUCAUCCACAUUUUGGAAAAUCAGAUCACAUUGCCGUGCUCCUCUUCCCGGUUUACAAAGCAGAAAUUGAAGCAUGAGGAACCAGUACAGAAAAUAGUGCAGUAUUGGUCUGAGGCAAUGGAAGGGCAUUCAUAGGACUGCUCGGAGUCGAUGAACUAUUCCAUAUUCAAGAAUUCAACGGCCAACUUAAACAAGUAUACCACUGUCACAGAUGUUAUCAAUUUUAUAGAUGUAGCAUAUAAAGCAUCUUAUCUGGAUGCAUCAUAGUGUGGUAUGGAAACUACUCUUCCCAAGACUGCAAGAAACUAGAGA